CUUCUCUCCUUCACAUCGGCAGCGAUGCUCGAAAAAAAAUUUAAGUGUAUAAACGGGGGGAAAAACAAACACGAGCGAACCCAGUAAACACACGGGCAGCUGCCGUACUUCACCACGCACCGAAGCUCAGUCGAUGCAGCGCGGCGGUGCGCUGAGCAGACAGCGGAGGCUGGAGGAGGAAAACAAAAACACCCCGUGCAUCGGGCUUGGCACAUGCUGGUCGUAUCAAAACCGAAAUGGAUGAAGUAAAACAAGAUAACUGAGUAGAGAACACCUUAGGCUAGCUAACUUAGGCUUUCCCCCUAAAAAAUACUGCAAAAUCUGCAGCACCUCGCCAGAGAUGGAGCUGUUGGCUGAAGUCCCCCCCCUGAAAAAAACGUCCCCGCACCGUUUCAGCCAAUAGCAGUGCAGCUGUCCAUGUAAGGCCGCCUCGGAUUGGACGAAGCUGGUAAAGGGUUUUGCUACGAGCCGUCUGACUGGGCGAAUUUUGAGGGGCGAUUCCAGGACUGAUUUAUGCAAGUCUUUCACCGACUGCAUGGACCUCCAUGAGGGUAUUCCACCACAACGGGGUUUGCCCUGCAGCCCGUCUGCAUCACUGCCCGUGAUUACCUUUCCUGCAUGAGUCAUCCGCUUGUUCGUGAGCAGCGAGCCUCACUUAACUGUAAUACGUGUGUACGAGGGUGUAUAAAUGUAUUAAACGUCAUUUCAGCGCCA